rnacentral:rRNA from 1 species
GACGUAGGUGGCGAGCGUUGUCCGGAAUUACUGGGCGUAAAGGGCGUGUAGGCGGCCUGCUAAGUCAGACGUGAAACCCCAAGGCUUAACCAUGGGACUGCGUUUGAUACUGGCGGGCUUGAGGACAGGAGAGGAAAGUGGAACUCCGUGUGUAGCGGUGAAAUGCGUAGAUAUACGGAAGAACACCAGUGGCGAAGGCGGCUUUCUGGACUGUCCCUGACGCUGAGGCGCGAAAGCCAGGGGAG